rnacentral:rRNA from 1 species
AGAGUUUGAUCAUGGCUCAGAAUCAACGCUGGCGGCGUGCCUAACACAUGCAAGUCGAACGCGAAAACCCCGCAAGGGGUUAGUAGAGUGGCGAACGGGUGAGUAACACGUGGGUGACCUACCUUCGAAUGGGGGAUAACGUCCCGAAAGGGACGCUAAUACCGCAUAACAUCCUGCUUUUGAACAGGUGGAGAUCAAAGCCGGGGAUCGCAAGACCUGGCGUUUGAAGAGGGGCCCGCGUCUGAUUAGCUAGUUGGUGAGGUAACGGCUCACCAAGGCGACGAUCAGUAUCCGGCCUGAGAGGGCGGACGGACACACUGGGACUGAGACACGGCCCAGACUCCUACGGGAGGCAGCAGUGGGGAAUUGUUCGCAAUGGGCGCAAGCCUGACGACGCAACGCCGCGUGGAGGAUGAAGGUCUUCGGAUUGUAAACUCCUGUUGCCCGGGACGAAAAGCUUCGAUCUAACACGUCGAGGUCUGACGGUACCGGGUGAGGAAGCCCCGGCUAACUCUGUGCCAGCCGCCGCGGUAAUAC